GACGAACGCUGGCGGCGUGCUUAACACAUGCAAGUCGAACGGAAAGGCCCUGCUUUUGUGGGGUGCUCGAGUGGCGAACGGGUGUGUAACACGUGAGUAACCUGCCCUUGACUUUGGGAUAACUUCAGGAAACUGGGGCUUAUACCGGAUAGGAGCUCCUGCUGCAUGGUGGGGGAUGGAAAGUUUCGGCGGUUGGGGAUGGACUCGCGGCUUAUCAGCUUGUUGGUGGGGUAGUGGCUUACCAAGGCUUUGACGGGUAGCCGGCCUGAGAGGGUGACCGGCCACAUUGGGACUGAGAUACGGCCCGGACUCCUACGGGAGGCAGCAGUGGGGAAUAUUGCACAAUGGGCGGAAGCCUGAUGCAGCAACGCCGCGUGCGGGAUGACGGCCUUCGGGUUGUAAACCGCUUUCGCCUGUGACGAAGCGUGAGUGACGGUAAUGGGUAAAGAAGCACCGGCUAACUACGUG
rnacentral:rRNA from 1 species